UAGAAGGACGAAGCGUUUUGGGGGCCGAGGCCCUUUCUAACGGCGGACCUGGUUUUGGGUCAAGCCGCCGGCUUCCGUUUCCUUUAUUUUCCUCUCUCAACAAACGAUUUUCCAGUCCAGUUAUAAAGUUCAGGUUGUUUCCUUAAGGGAGUACUCUUGGGCUCAACACCUAUGGAAGAUGAGCAGUAGUGCAAUCCCACCAAAGACAUCAGCCAACCCCAAAGCUUACAAUCUGAAGGUGUCCGUUCCUACACUGGUCAGACCACUGUCCUUGGGGCAGCUGGGGUCUUUGGGACCCUCCA